rnacentral:misc_RNA from 1 species
GAUGAAGAACGCAGCGAAAUGCGAUAAGUAAUGUGAAUUGCAGAAUUCAGUGAAUCAUCGAAUCUUUGAACGCACAUUGCGCCCGCCAGUAUUCUGGCGGGCAUGCCUGUUCGAGCGUCGUUACAACCCUCAGGCCCCCGGGCCUGGCGUUGGGGAUCGGCGGAGCCCCCCGUGGGCACACGCCGUCCCCCAAAUACAGUGGCGGUCCCGCCGCAGCUUCCAUCGCGUAGUAGCUAACACCUCGCGACUGGAGAGCGGCGCGGCCACGCCAUAAAACACCCAACUCUUCUGAAGUUGACCUCGAAUCAGGUAGGAAUACCCGCUGAACUUAAGCAUAUCAAUAAGCGGAGGA